UAGGGAAUAUUAGAAAUGGACGAAAGUCUGAUCUAGCAACACCGCGUGUGCGAAGAAGGCCUUUGGGUCGUAAAGCACUUUUUGGAAGGAAUAGGAAGGAAUGUACUUCCAGAAUAAGUCUCGGCUAACUACGUGCCAGCAGCCGCGGUAACACGUAGGAGGCAAACGUUAUCCGGAUUUACUGGGCGUAAAGCGCGUGUAGGUGGUACUGUAAGUAGGGCGUGAAAGCUCCUGGCUCAACUGGGAGAGGCCGUUCUAAACUACAGAACUAGAGGAUGGUAGAGGGAGGUGGAAUUCCAGGUGUAGCGGUGGAAUGCGCAGAUAUCUGGAGGAACACAGGUGGCGAAGGCGGCCUCCUGGACCAUUCCUGACACUCAGACGCGAAAGCUAGGGUAGCAAACG
rnacentral:rRNA from 1 species